AUGUGAAGUCGUACCUGCCCAGUGAAAUUUUAACGGCCGCGGUACUCUGACCGUGCAAAGGUAGCAUAAUAAUUUGCCUUAUAAUUGAAGGCUGGAAUGAAUGGUUUGUCAAGGAUAAAACUGUCUCUAUAAGAUUUUAUAGAAUUUUAUUUUUAGGUGAAAAAGCCUAAAUUAUAUUAAAAGACAAGAAGACCCUAUCGAGCUUAAAAAAACUUAAUAAAUACACUAUAACUAAUUUGAAGUUUAAUUAUAAUAAGAUUUUGGUUGGGGCAACCUAGGAGUAUAUAAAACCUCCUUUUUUAAAAAAACUAACUUGUUAUGACCCAAAAAUUUUGAUUAAAAGAAAUAGUUACCGUAGGGAUAACAGCAUUAUUUUUUUUGAGAGUUCCUAUCGAAAAAAAAGUUUGUGACCUCGAUGUUGGACCAGAAUAUCCUAAAGAUGCAGAAAUCUUUAAGGGUUGGUCUGUUCGACCAUUAAAAUUCUA
rnacentral:rRNA from 1 species